UACGAAGGGUGCAAGCGUUACUCGGAAUUACUGGGCGUAAAGCGUGCGUAGGCGGUUUGUUAAGUCCGUUGUGAAAGCCCUGGGCUCAACCUGGGAAUUGCAGUGGAUACUGGCGAGCUAGAGUGCGGUAGAGGAUGGUGGAAUUCCUGGUGUAGCGGUGAAAUGCGCAGAUAUCAGGAAGAACACCCGUGGCUAAGGCGGCUCUCUAGUACGGUACUGACGCUGAGACGCGAAAGCGUGGGGAGCGAACAGG
rnacentral:rRNA from 1 species